GACGUAGGGUGCAAGCGUUGUCCGGAUUUAUUGGGCGUAAAGAGCUCGUAGGCGGCUUGUUGCGUCGACUGUGAAAACCCGCGGCUUAACCGCGGGCUUGCAGUUGAUACGGGCAGGCUAGAGUUCGGUAGGGGAGACUGGAAUUCCUGGUGUAGCGGUGAAAUGCGUAGAUAUCUGGAGGAAUACCGGUGGCGAAGGCGGCAUUCUGGACCAUUACUGACACUGAAUCGCGAAAGCUAGGGGAGCAAACGGG
rnacentral:rRNA from 1 species